UACAGAGGUCUCAAGCGUUGUUCGGAUUCAUUGGGCGUAAAGGGCGCGUAGGCGGACUCGCCAGUCUGUGGUGAAAGCCCCCAGCUUAACUGGGGAAGUGCCGUGGAUACUGCGAGUCUGGAGGAGGGUAGGGGCAUCUGGAACGCUGGGUGGAGCGGUGAAAUGCGUUGAUAUCCAGCGGAACUCCGGUGGCGAAGGCGAGGUGCUGGACCCUUUCUGACGCUGAGGCGCGAAAGCCAGGGGAGCAAACGGG
rnacentral:rRNA from 1 species